UACGGGGGGGGCAAGCGUUGUUCGGAAUUACUGGGCGUAAAGGGCUCGUAGGCGGCCAACUAAGUCAGACGUGAAAUCCCCAGGCUCAACCUGGGAACUGCGUCUGAUACUGGAUGGCUUGAAUUCGGGAGAGGGAUGCAGAAUUCCAGGUGUAGCGGUGAAAUGCGUAGAUAUCUGGAGGAAUACCGGUGGCGAAGGCGGCAUCCUGGACCGAUAUUGACACUGAGGAGCGAAAGCCAGGGGAGCAAACGGG
rnacentral:rRNA from 1 species